UACGUAGGGUGCAAGCGUUGUCCGGAAUUAUUGGGCGUAAAGAGCUCGUAGGCGGUCUGUCGCGUCGGCUGUGAAAACCCGGGGCUCAACCCCGGGCCUGCAGUCGAUACGGGCAGACUAGAGUGCGGUAGGGGAGACUGGAAUUCCUGGAGUAGCGGUGAAAUGCGCAGAUAUCAGGAGGAACACCGGUGGCGAAGGCGGGUCUCUGGGCCGUAACUGACGCUGAGGAGCGAAAGCGUGGGGAGCGAACAGG
rnacentral:rRNA from 1 species